UAAAUUUAGACCCACAAGUCAAAAUACAACAUCACUUAUUGAUCCAAUAAUUUUUUGAUCAACGGAACAAGUUACCCUAGGGAUAACAGCACA
rnacentral:rRNA from 1 species